CUACUCUGACAUCCAGAGAACUUAGCAGAGAUGCUUUGGUGCCUUCGGGAACUCUGAGACAGGUGCUGCAUGGCUGUCGUCAGCUCGUGUUGUGAAAUGUUGGGUUAAGUCCCGCAACGAGCGCAACCCUUAUCCUUUGUUGCCAGCGGUUCGGCCGGGAACUCAAAGGAGACUGCCAGUGAUAAACUGGAGGAAGGUGGGGAUGACGUCAAGUCAUCAUGGCCCUUACGAGUAGGGCUACACACGUGCUACAAUGGCGUAUACAAAGAGAAGCGACCUCGCGAGAGCAAGCGGACCUCAUAAAGUACGUCGUAGUCCGGAUUGGAGUCUGCAACUCGACUCCAUGAAGUCGGAAUCGCUAGUAAUCGUAGAUCAGAAUGCUACGGUGAAUACGUUCCCGGGCCUUGUACACACCGCCCGUCACACCAUGGGAGUGGGUUGCAAAAGAAGUAGGUAGCUUAACCUUCGGGAGGGCGCUUACCACUUUGUGAUUCAUGACUGGGGUGAAGUCGUAACAAGGUAACCA
rnacentral:rRNA from 1 species